rnacentral:rRNA from 1 species
CCUACGGGUGGCAGCAGUGAGGAAUAUUGGGCAAUGGGCGAGAGCCUGAAGCAGCCAAGUAGCGUGAAGGAUGACUGCCCUACGGGUUGUAAACUUCUUUUAUAAAGGAAUAAAGUGAGGCACGUGAGCCGUUGUGUAUGUACUUUAUGAAUAAGGAUCGGCUAACUACGUGCCAGCAGCCGCGGUAAUACGGAGGAUCCGGGCGUUAUCCGGAUUUAUUGGGUUUAAAGGGAGCGUAGAUGGGUUGUUAAGUCAGUUGUGAAAGGUUGCGGCUGAACCGUAAAAUUGCAAUUGAUACUGGCAGUCUUGAGUACAUGUGAGGUAGGCGGAAUUCGUGGUGUAGCGGUGAAAUGCGUAGAUAUCACGAAGAACUCCGAUUGCGAAGGCAGCUUACUA